AACGAACGCUGGCGGCAUGCCUAACACAUGCAAGUCGAACGAGACCUUCGGGUCUAUUGGCGCACGGGUGCGUAACGCGUGGGAACCUGCCCUUAGGUUCGGAAUAACUCCCCGAGAGGGGUGCUAAUACCGGAUAAUGUCUUCGGACCAAAGAUUUAUCGCCUUUGGAUGGGCCCUCGCUGGAUUAGCUAGUUGGUAGGGUAAAAGCCUACCAAGGCGACGAUUCAUAGCUGGUCUGAGAGGAUGAUCAGCCACACUGGGACUGAGACACGGCCCAGACUCCUACGGGAGGCAGCAGUGGGGAAUGUUGGACAGUGGGCGAAAGCCUGAUCCAGCAAUGCCGCGUGAGUGAUGAAGGCCUUAGGGUUGUAAAGCUCUUUUACCCGGGAUGAUAAUGACAGUACCGGGAGAAUAAGCUCCGGCUAACUCCGUG
rnacentral:rRNA from 1 species